UUAAGAAAGUGACCCCAUUUUUGACAUAACCAGUUUAAUGAUUCUGUAACUGGGGCUGUAAAAGCCUGUUUCUGUAAACAUGUAAGUCUAAUGGGUUAUCCUGUGGACUUCUGUGACCUCAGCUGAGGAGCUCUACAGAUUCUGGACCGGAUGAGGAACACUGCCUCAUGCCUCGUCUAGCAGGAAUCAUUGAGGAGAAAGCUGCUAGCAGAUAAACUUCAACCUAAGACCUGCUUGGAUACCUGCCAGUGCCUCAGAACUCAUCUUCCUGUUUUACCUUUGCUAGUUUGGCAAGGAUGCCUGGGAAUGAAUACGACUGGAAACGUGAAUUGCUCUUUUACCUCUAGAGGGACCACCAGGAUCAGUGAUGAAGCCUGCUAGUAAGCUGGAAAUUGGAGCUUAGCCCAUUCCUUUCUCUUUACUGCUCUGCCAGAAGAAAGAGGACUCCAGGGUCCUCCAGAUCAAUAAAAAUGACAUAGUGAAGGGAGAGGAACUGCUGGAAGUGAAAUUUUGACUAGCAAUACACAGGCAGCCUG